AGCGAACGCUGGCGGCAUGCUUAACACAUGCAAGUCGCACGGCCAGCAAUGGCAGUGGCGGACGGGUGAGUAACGCGUAGGAAUAUGUCCGGAGGUGGGGGACAACCCUGGGAAACUGGGGCUAAUACCGCAUAUGAGCUGAGGCUCAAAGCCGUGAGGCGCCUUUGGAGUAGCCUGCGUCCGAUUAGCUUGUGGUGGGUAAUGGCCUACCAAGGCUGCGAUCGGUAGCUGGUCUGAGAGGACGAUCAGCCACACUGGGACUGAGACAC
rnacentral:rRNA from 1 species